AGCAGGCUGCUCAGAGCCCUGUUCCCAAGGAUGGGGCAUGCACAGCCUCUGUGCACAGCCUGGGCCAGUGCCCCACCACCCCCAGUGGAAAAGAGCAGCUUCCUUAGAUGCAGCUUCCAUCAUCCUGCUGCAGUUGAAAGCCAUCCCCCCUUGUCCUGUCAGCACAGGCCCUGCUGAACACUCUGUCCCCUUCUUUCCUGGGGCAGCCUUCCAGUCCUGCACAGCCACAGGGAGGCCUCCCAGUGUCUCCUCUCUCCAGGCUGAGCAUCCCCAGCCCCACUUGCCCAGCAGUCAGUCACAUCAGGGCCAGUCCAGGCUGAAGGGUAGCAAAUAGCAUCAGGAACUGAGAGAUGCAAGCUUUAAACCCAGCUUUGUCUCUAAAUGUACAAAAUUAAUAACAGUGGAUGGGAAGAUGGUGGGACACUGCUUCUGUUCUAUCUGGUGAUUUAUUUUUCUUCUUUUCUGUCAUGCUGCCCCAAGUUUUUCUGUUUGAAAGGAAGCUUGGCACAAUGUCCAUUGUCUUCUCCAUUUGUGAAACACCAACCGGAGUCUGGGCAGGCUGAUGAUGCAGAGCAAAACCUGAAAAUAUACUAGUGAUCCUGAGCCUGGGAGAUGCAGCUAAACCCAGCCAAAAGCAAUUUCUGGAGAGCCAAGCCUGGUUUACAUUUUCUUGAGUGUGGCUAUGCCAACUUCCCCAGUCAUUUCUAAAAAAGCAAACAAAAACUCACACCAAAACAGACAAAAACCCAAACAAACAAACCCACACAAACCAAUCCAACAAAUAGAUAAAAAACCCCAAAUAAAACCAAAGGGAAUGAGGAGUUAGUAUUAGUGGUGAGAAUAGCACAGCGGGUAAAUGGUUGCUUCCCACAGGAUCAUCAUCAAAAGCCACAUAGAACAGCUGCUCCAAAAUAUACCCAACAGGAGAAAAAGAAAAAGUGAGACAUGGCAACUUUGGGGGCAGCUCCACAUUCAGGUGAAGGAUGAGCACGCAGUGGUACAGAUCCAGCAUUGCCCACCCUCCAGGCUGCUCUUUGCUCCUGAUGAAAGACCCUUGCAGGACUGUGGCCCCUCUCAGUGCAGUGUCAGUCACUGCCAGAGCUCUCAGCUGAGCCACUGGCAUUUCCAGAGCGACAUCCAGGCACAAUCCUGCUGCCUGCUGAGCACCUGUGGAAGAUCCUCAGCAUCUUCAUGCCUAGCAGCACAAAACAGCUCAGGAUUUCUCUGAACUGCUUUUCAGGAGAGGUUUCCAUAUCCCUGUGAGAUCUGUUCAUCCCUCAACACGUCUGACUUGGUGUACAAUGAUGCAUUUGGGUUCCUCCCUUCCUCCUGUGUGCCAGUGAGAAACCAUCCAUGGGAAUGGAGGAUGUUGUGUGCAGGGCAAUGUAUUCCUGGCUUGCCACUGUCACUCAGCUGAACAUGGUCCUUGUCUAAGAAGGACUUCGAAGAAAUGGGUAGGAAUUUUGGCUCUGAGAGGAGCAGAAAGCAUAUUUUCUAGACCACAUUGCCAGCAGAUGCCGUUUCCCUGGCAGAACAGUGAUUGCCACUCAUCUUCCUGGGAAGAAUGUCAAGACCCAUUCAGAGAUCCCAGGUUCAGCUGGCCUUUGGCUUUGUCUACCUCAUUUCACACAUCCACUUUCAAGGGCCAUUAGAAGAGGCACAUGUCUGCCUUGCUACCCAGAAGUGCUGUAGUUAUUCCCAGAAAAAAAAAAAACAACCAAAAAUUGGCGGUCCUGUGGUGUGGUAGAAAUCCCAUCACAACUGUGACUCUGUGAGCAAAGACAGCCGGUGCUUUUUGGGGCUGUAACAGCUGAGAGUGUGGCAGAGCAGGUUUGAUAUUCUUUUUAGAGUCCUGAAAACAUUGUUCCCAAAACAAUCUUUCUCUCCUGUCUUUUGUCAUCAACUGUGGAACAGAGGAAAUGGAAGGGAUCAGAGGUUUGUUUAAAUUUGCGCUUAUUUUUAAUUCUUCAAAUAGUGUCAGCUCGAUGCGUGAUACUUUAGAAAUUGGAUGAGUAGCACCUAUUUCAUCCCAGCAGAGGGGUGGGAUUGAAGACUUCCAACAACAGAAACACUGGAUGUGUAAGAGCUCAGUUUUCCACCCCUCACACAAGUAACUUGCUGUACUAUUUUCAGCAGCCUCAGCCAGAUCGAUUAAAAUACUGCUCCAAACAACAACAGAAUGAAAAUCUUCCACCAAAUGGGGAAAAGGAAGAAAAGUGGGCCGCAGCCCUUUCUUCAGAGCUUGUGUUGAUUUUGCCAAGUCAGAUGCAAACAAGGUUUGCCAUAUUUCUUUCCUAGAAAAAUGCAGCUCUUGAAUAGAAAUCUAUCUCUGAGGCUGCUAAGUUGAGUAUGAUUUUAGAGCUGGGAGGAGCAAAACAGGUUCCAGAGAAGCUGUGGUUGUGUCACCCUUGGAAGUGUUCAGGGCCAGGUUGGAUGGGGCUUGGAGCAACCUUGUUAGCGGAAGGUGUCCUGAGCCUGGUGAGUCCCUGAAAAGAAACUUUUGGUUUUCCUGAAAUGCUGCCUUUGCAAGGGGAGGUCACAACUACCCCACGUAAUUUGAAAUGCCCUGAGCAGAACCCAACUGUGCUUUCUCGCAGGUGAGGAGGGAUUUUCACUUGUAUUUUAUGGAGGAUUUUGACAGGGCAGAGCAAGAGCAGCUGAAUGUGUUUGACAGGCAAAGAGGGCCAGUGUGGCAGCAGCUUAAUUCCAUGGAGCUUUUCCUUCUGUGAUCCUGUACAACCUGAGGCAGCACUCUGGGGCUCUUGAACCUGGCAGCUGGGCAAGUUAAUCAUUGGAACAAGUGAUAAAUUAAGCUGCUCCACUCUCUUGAGCAUGGGUGUGAUGAGCCUUAAGUAAACCUGUGAGCACUUGUCAGGAUGGGAGCUUGUUCUUUGCCAGGGAGGAGGGAGAAAAUAUUGCUUGGAGUAAAUAAAGCAACUCUGCUUCCCCUGGAAGAGGAAAAGAAGGAAUUAAACAUGUGAAUGCUGCAUGGAGUCAUUUGCACAAGGCUAUAUCUUGUCUGCUAUGCAGGAAUGUUCUCAAUAAACCAGGCUUCUCCUGAUCAUUAUUUUUCUGGGUUUCCACCACACGAUACAAGAGACUCUCACCUGAAAAAAACAAAACACGCUGUAGGGAGGCAAUAUUUCCUUUCUUCAGGCGUUCCCUUUUUUUGUUCUCUCCAGAGCUCUCCCUUCAUUUCUGCUGCUGUUUGGAGCACGUGCUUACCUCUUUGCUGAUCCCCUGGGCUUCUUUUGGCUCUGGGUGUCAUGGACACUAUUAAUGGUGGGUUCUUUCCCCUUCAUCUUCUUCUGUUUCUUCAUGUGGUUUACCUUCAUUUACCUGUUGGAGUGAUGGAUUUUUCUCACCCUUUAUUACUUGGUGCUUUUUCUUCAUUCUCCAAAACCAACUUCUCACUUGCCCUGUGGCUGUUAGGUGCCAGUUAUGGGAGCAUGAAUUCUUUCUCUAGCCCUUGUCUGAGCUUUCUCGGGGAGCUGAGAGCUCUUUGGGGUUCAACUUGACUCACUUCAGCGCCUUCCUUGCUGCUGCCUGUGUCCUUCGACACUUGAAGGGAAUAAAAUCUCAGUGUGGAGAUGACAGCUGUGAAAUGAUGGCUCUUUUGGAGAAGACAAGAAUGCUGUUGUCAGUCUUUUCAAGGAUAAACUGAGCACCUGGUUUUGGGGAGAAACAGGCUCAGCUCAGCACAGAGGUGGCUGUUGCAAGUGCCCAGGUUUGGAGGGAAGGCUGCAGCUCCUGGGGGUGUGUUGGUGUGGGGCUAUAAGGUUUGUGCUGGGUCCCUGGAGCAGUGGGAACACCCCACUGCGAGAGGCACAUCAGGAAAUGGGUGCAGAAAGGGCCUGAAGUGUGACCAGCUAUAGUGAAGGGUUCCAUAGGAAAUCAUAUUUUUACUGAGAUUUUGGACAAUUUGAGGCUCCUUCUCGUGUCCUUUGCCCGAUGAACAUUCCCCCUUUGCAAGAGCUUGGGGAAUCCUGAGGUCACACAAUGAAAAUCCCUGAUCAUGAUAUCUUUUUUCUAUCCUUUGAUGUUGUCAUCCCAGCAGGAGUCAGAGGAAGAGAAUAUGUGUGACCUGCCUGGCUUUAACAAUGUGCCAGGAACAAUGCCAUGGAGAAGCUGGUCAGAGGAGCAUCUGAGAAGUGUGUGCUACAUCAGUGAUGUCCUACUACUGAUCUUUGCACAGAGAUGAAAAAGUAUCCGUUUGCAUGGCCUGAAUGUCUGGCUCUGGACAUUCUGCAUUACACAAGAUGUGCUGAGCUCAUCUGGCUCUGAAAGAUCAUCUCUGCACCUUAGCCAGGAACAGCAUCAGAGUUCUGAACAGAUGCAUCAAAAUCAGUCAUAACCCAGAGGCAAACCUUGGCAAUACACAUGUGUGGCAGGUUUUUCUGUUUGAAAGGAAGCUUGGCACAAUGUCCAUUGUCUUCUCCAUUUGUGAAACACCAAGCGGAGUCUGGGCAGGCUGAUGAUGCAGAGCACAACCUGAAAAUAUACUAGUGAUCCUGAGCCUGGGGGAUGCAGCUAAACCCAGCCAAAAGGAAUUUCUGAAAAGCUGAUCCUGGUUUAUAUUUUCUUGAGUGUGGCUAUGCCAACUUCCCCAGUCAUUUCUAAAAAAGCAAACAAAAACUCAAGCCAAUUCAGACAAAAACCCAAACAAACAAACAAACAAACAAACCCACGCAAACCAAUCCAACAACUAGAUAAAAAAACCCAAAUAAAACCAAAGGGAAUGAGGAAUUAGUAUUAGUGGUGAGAAUAGCACAGCGGGUAAAUGGUUGCUUCCCACAGGAUCACCAUCAAAAGCCACAUAGAACAGCUGCUCCAAAAUAUACCCAAGAGGAGAAAAAGAAAAAGUGAUGCAUGGCAACUUUGGGGGCAGCUCCACAUUCAGGUGAAGGAUGAGCACGCAGUGGUACAGAUCCAGCAUUGCCCACCCUCCAGGCUGCUCUUUGCUCCUGAUGAAAGACCCUUGCAGGACUGUGGCCCCUCUCAGUGCAGUGUCAGUCACUGCCAGAGCUCUCAGCUGAGCCACUGGCAUUUCCAGAGCGACAUCCAGGCACAAUCCUGCUGCCUGCUGAGCACCUGUGGAAGAUCCUCAGCAUCUUCAUGCCUAGCAGCACAAAACAGCUCAGGAUUUCUCUGAACUGCUUUUCAGGAGAGGUUUCCAUAUCCCUGUGAGAUCUGUUCAUCCCUCAACACGUCUGACUUGGUGUACAAUGAUGCAUUUGGGUUCCUCCCUUCCUCCUGUGUGCCAGUGAGAAACCAUCCAUGGGAAUGGAGGAUGUUGUGUGCAGGGCAAUGUAUUCCUGGCUUGCCAUUUUGCUUCACUGUCACUCAGCUGAACAUGAUCCCUAUCUAAGAAGGACUUCGGAGAAAUGGGUAGGAAUUUUGGCUCUGAGAGGAGCAGAAAGCAUAUUUUCUAGACCACAUUGCCAGCAGAUGCCGUUUCCCUGGCAGAACAGUGAUUGCCACUCAUCUUCCUGGGAAGAAUGUCAAGACCCAUUCAGAGAUCCCAGGUUCAGCUGGCCUUUGGCUUUGUCUACCUCAUUUCACACAUCCACUUUCAAGGGCCAUUAGAAGAGGCACAUGUCUGCCUUGCUCCCCAGAAGUGCUGUAGUUAUUCCCAGGAAAAAAAAAAAAAAAAAAAACAACCAAAAACUGGCGGUCCUGUGGUGUGGUAGAAAUCCCAUCACAACUGUGACUCUGUGAGCAAAGACAGCCGGUGCUUUUUGGGGCUGUAACAGCUGAGAGUGUGGCAGAGCAGGUUUGAUAUUGUUUUUAGACUCCUGAAAACAUUGUUCCCAAAACAAUCUUUCUCUCCUGUCUUUUGUCAUCAACUGUGGAACAGAGGAAAUGGAAGGGAUCAGAGGUUUGUUUAAAUUUGCGCUUAUUUUUAAGUCUUCAAAUAGUGUCAGCUCGAUGCGUGAUACUUUAGAAAUUGGAUGAGUAGCACCUAUUUCAUCCCAGCAGAGGGGUGGGAUUGAAGACUUCCAACAACAGAAACACUGGAUGUGUAAGAGCUCAGUUUUCCACCCCUCACACAAGUAACUUGCUGUACUAUUUUCAGCAUCCUCAGCCAGAUCGAUUAAAAUACUGCUCCAAACAACAACAGAAUGAAAAUGUUCCGCCAAAUGGGGAAAAGGAAGAAAAGUGGGCCGCAGCCCUUUCUUCAGAGCUUGUGUUGAUUUUGCCAAGUCAGAUGCAAACAAGGUUUGCCAUAUUUCUUUCCUAGAAAAAUGCAGCUAUUGAAUAGAAAUCUACCUCUGAGGCUGCUAAGUUGAGUGCGAUUUUAUAGCUGGGAGGAGCAAAACAGGUUCCAGAGAAGCUGUGGUUGUGUUACCCUUGGAAGUGUUCAGGGCCAGGUUGGAUGGGGCUUGGAGCAACCUUGUUAGCGGAAGGUGUCCUGAGUCUGGUGAGUCCCUGAAAAGAAACUUUUGGUUUUCCUGAAAUGCUGCCUUUGUAAGGGGAGGUCACAACUACCCCACGUAAUUUGAAAUGCCCUGAGCAGAACCCAACUGUUUUUUCUCACAGGUGAGGAGGGAUUUUCACUUGUAUUUUAUGGAGGAUUUUGACAGGGCAGAGCAAGAGCAGCUGAAUGGGUUUGACAGGCAAAGAGGGCUAGUGUGGCAGCAGCUUAAUUCCAUGGAGCUUUUCCUUCUGUGAUCCCGUACAACCUGAGGCAGCACUCUGGGGCUCUUGAACCUGGCAGCUGGGCAAGUUAAUCAUUGGAACAAGUGAUAAAUUAAGCUGCUCCACUCUCUUGAGCAUGGGUGUGAUGAGCCUUAAGUAAACCUGUGAGCACUUGUCAGGAUGGGAGCUUGUUCUUUGCCAGGGAGGAGGGAGAAAAUAUUGCUUGGAGUAAAUAAAGCAACUCUGCUUCCCCUGGAAGAGGAAAAGAAGGAAUUAAAUAUGUGAAUGCUGCAUGGAGUCAUUUGCACAAGGCUAUAUCUUGUCUGCUAUGCAGGAAUGUUCUCAAUAAACCAGGCUUCUCCUGACCAUUA